UACGAAGGGGGCUAGCGUUGCUCGGAAUCACUGGGCGUAAAGGGUGCGUAGGCGGGUCUUUAAGUCAGGGGUGAAAUCCUGGAGCUCAACUCCAGAACUGCCUUUGAUACUGAAGAUCUUGAGUUCGGGAGAGGUGAGUGGAACUGCGAGUGUAGAGGUGAAAUUCGUAGAUAUUCGCAAGAACACCGGUGGCGAAGGCGGCUCACUGGCCCGAUACUGACGCUGAGGCACGAAAGCGUGGGGAGCAAACAGGG
rnacentral:rRNA from 1 species